rnacentral:rRNA from 1 species
GAUGAACGCUGGCGGCGUGCCUAAUACAUGCAAGUCGAGCGAACCGCUUCGGUGGUGAGCGGCGAACGGGUGAGUAACACGUAGGUGAUCUGCCCAUCAGACGGGGACAACGAUUGGAAACGAUCGCUAAUACCGGAUAGGACGAAAGUUUAAAGGUGCUUCUGGCACCGCUGAUGGAUGAGCCUGCGGCGCAUUAGCUAGUUGGUAGGGUAAAGGCCUACCAAGGCGACGAUGCGUAGCCGACCUGAGAGGGUGAACGGCCACACUGGGACUGAGACACGGCCCAGACUCCUACGGGAGGCAGCAGUAGGGAAUCUUCGGCAAUGGGCGAAAGCCUGACCGAGCAACGCCGCGUGAAUGAUGAAGGCCUUCGGGUUGUAAAAUUCUGUUAUAAGGGAAGAACGACUUUAGUAGGAAAUGGCUAGAGUGUGACGGUACCUUAUGAGAAAGCCACGGCUAACUACGUGCCAGCCGCCGCCGUAACAC